rnacentral:rRNA from 1 species
CCUACGGGUGGCAGCAGUGGGGAAUAUUGGACAAUGGGCGAAAGCCUGAUCCAGCCAUGCCGCGUGUGUGAAGAAGGCCUUCGGGUUGUAAAGCACUUUCAGUGGGGAAGAAAGCCUUGGGGCUAAUACCCUCGAGGAAGGACAUCACCCACAGAAGAAGCACCGGCUAACUCCGUGCCAGCAGCCGCGGUAAUACGGAGGGUGCGAGCGUUAAUCGGAAUUACUGGGCGUAAAGCGCGCGUAGGCGGUCUGAUAAGCCGGUUGUGAAAGCCCCGGGCUCAACCUGGGAACGGCAUCCGGAACUGUCAGGCUAGAGUGCAGGAGAGGAAGGUAGAAUUCCCGGUGUAGCGGUGAAAUGCGUAGAGAUCGGGAGGAAUACCAGUGGCGAAGGCGGCCUUCUGGACUGACACUGACGCUGAGGUGCGAAAGCGUGGAUAGCAAACAGGAUUAGAUACCCGGGUAGUC